rnacentral:rRNA from 1 species
CAGCCGCCGCGGGAAUACGAAGGGGGCUAGCGUUGUUCGGAAUUACUGGGCGUAAAGCGCACGUAGGCGGAUCGAUCAGUCAGGGGUGAAAUCCCAGGGCUCAACCCUGGAACUGCCUUUGAUACUGUCGAUCUGGAGUAUGGAAGAGGUGAGUGGAAUUCCGAGUGUAGAGGUGAAAUUCGUAGAUAUUCGGAGGAACACCAGUGGCGAAGGCGGCUCACUGGUCCAUUACUGACGCUGAGGUGCGAAAGCGUGGGGAGCAAACAGGAUUAGAUACCCCAGGUCCCUGUCUCUUAUACAC